rnacentral:lncRNA from 1 species
AGGCAAGCAUAAUUGGAUUGUAAAGAUCAAAAAUUUAGAAACAUAUAAUUUUGCAAUUUUUUUUUAGGACAAACAUUAGAAAAAGGCAAAACCAUGCAUCUCUUAAGAGCAAUAGGAUUCUUCCACGUAAACAUGCUCUUACUUGGAACCAUAAUAGGGUCGGGGAUUUUUGUGUCUCCUAAAGGAGUGUUAAAAUACUCCUCACUGAACAUCCCUGUUUCUCUCAGUAUCUGGGCAGGCUGUGGCCUGAUGGCCAUUAUGAUUGCUCUCUCUUUGACAGAGCUGGCAACCACGUUUCCUGUGAGUGCAGCAUCUUAUUAUUUUUUGAAGAGAUCUCUUGGACCGUCUGCUGCUUUCCUCAGUUUGUGGAUUAAAGUUUUUUCUCAUUGUCUAGGCCUGGGUACUCAAACCUUACUAAUAGCUAGUUAUCUAAUUCAACCUUUCUAUCCUGGGUGCCCAGCUCCAGAACUCCCGAUUAAAUGCCUGGCUUUGGCUACUUUGUGGUCAUUUGGAUUUCUCAAUGCUAGAAGAAUGAAAGCAGUGGCUUGGCUUCAGAGUAUCAGCACUGUGAUAAAGAUGAGUGUUCUUUGUCUCAUUUCUCUAACUGGGAUUGUGCUGUUAGUGAUUGGCAAAAAGGAGAAUGUGUCCAGGUUUGAGAAUGCUUUGGAUGCUGCACUUCCCAGUGCCUCACAGGUUGUGGAAGCCAUUAUCCAAGAAUGUUUUGCAUACAGAGGAUCAUUAAUCCUGGCCAACAUAGCAGGUGAUAUAAAAAUCCUACUAAAGUAAUUCCCAAAUCCGUGAUUUCUUGUCUUUCCAUCAUAAUUGUAUUUUAUGUACUGGUUAAUGUAUCCUAUCUGGUAGUUUUGACACCAAAGGAAAUUACGACUUCAGAUUCUGUUGCUAUCACAUGGGUAAACAGAGCAUAUCCUUCCAUGAAAUGGGUUAUUUCUUUGGGGAUCUCCUUCUCAUCGUUGUCAAGCACUGCCUGUAUAAUACUUUCAGCAUCAAGGAUUUUCUACUCUGCAAGCCAAGAAGGACAGAUGCCGCUCAUCUUCUCAAUGCUUAAUGACCAUCACAGUCCUAUUGUAGCUGUCACUCAAGUUGUCAUUUUAUCUACAAUUUCAAUAAUAAGUUCAAACUUAACCAGUUUGAUAAAAUAUAUAGGACUAAUAAACAUUUUCAAUGAAGUACUAUGUAUGAUAGCUUUACUUAAACUGAGGUAUCAGAAGCCAGCUCUUCCUAGGCCUUAUAAGGUAAAUCAAAAUGCUAACAUUAUGUUUUUACCUACCUUACUUGAAUAAUAUUGAAUUAGUAGAAAUGUUAUUUUAUACGUGUAUAUCCUUCUAACCAAUUACAAGCUUAGUCUAUAACAAAUUUGAUCUCAGGCUCUUUCUCUGAAAUUUGUAUUAUGGGUCAUUUUGGGGGUUUUGUUUUUAAUAUAUAAAAGCUUAAAACUUAUCUGUAACAAGAAUACAAAUAUCAUUAUCAUGAUUUGUAAAUACAGAUAUAAUUAUUAUCAUGAUUUGUUUUUACUUGGUAAAUUAAAUAUUGACAUUGUACAAACAGGGGGGACUCUGAUUAUCAUCACACAUAAAUUAUAUAGGAUUACUCUUUUUCAUGUUCUCCACAAAAUAUCAAAUUUCUAUGAGAGGUUAAUAAAAGCAUCAACUUGGGUGAUUAUAAGAACAUUUCAAAUUUGAACUAUCAAGAUAUAAUCAUUACUGUAGGUUAGUGAAACAGCUUUUAAUGCAUUUCUUGCUGGCACUAAGGGAUAGAUCCAAUGAUACAAACAUUCUAAGAAAGUCUUUUACCACUGUAUUGUAAGUUCUCUUUCCACUAGGAAGAGGUAUCAUGAAGCCCAGGCACAGACCUUUGUGAGAAGAGCAUAAGCAACAUUUAACACUAACAUAUAUGUGAGAUGAAAUAUAUAAGCAAUCAAAUGCAGGAGAAAUAAAAUAAGUUAUUUUAAAAAGAAGAUACUGAAAACUGGAUGUAAUGUGAGUGAGAAGAAAGCAUGUGUGGAUACAGAUCCACUAGCUGCCAUAAAUUCUUUUAAACAAAUUUGUCUAUAUUCAAGACAAUGGUAGGUCUCAAGUGCAUCACCCAAUCUCAAAAAAAGAGCCAGUUUUUGUUUGCUUGUUUGCUGGAUUUGUUUAUUUGUUUGGUGUCAUGCAUAUUUAUUUGCUGUUGUGAUAAAUAAUUUUUUCAUCAUGAAUC